GGAGCGACCACCUGAGACAACGUACGCUCACCCCUUGAAGGCGCACUUGUGGCUUGAUCCAGGGGUUGGAAAAGAGGUUGUUCACUGCCUUGGUCAAGAGGAGUUGGGUAGGAGGGCUCAUCUUCACGGCAGGGAGAAGCCACGACAGGAGCCAAGAAGAGACCUGAAGAAGGGGGAGGAGUGUGGAUAAUGACAAUAACCACAGAGCCUCAAGUCUGAACUACAAUCCUGGAGAGCAACUGUUAAAAGGAAGGGCCAGCGGAGACCACAAAGACCUUGGAAUAUGAUCAGGUGCGGGGGGAGGCAGUGAGGGGGUUCUCACUGAGUGGGAAGCACUAGCCUGCGAAGUGCUUAUAACAGCAGAUGAGAUCAAAGGAGGCCUAAGAUAGAUCCUAACAUGCCGGUGGGACUCUUUGGAUUCCUACCUUUCCAUUUCCAUCUUCAUACAGAAUGUCUUUUUGGGUUUUGUUUCAUAGCGUAGGGUAAGUUUACAAUGAAAGAUGACAUUUCUUAUCCUUCAUGGCAGGAGUAAAGAAAGGACUGAAUUCUGACUAGUUUAUAUAGACACAGAAGUAAUUGAGAGGAGUGGUUGGGAUGCUACUUAGGGGACCUGUCAGAUAUGCCCUGGUCUGUGUUCUUGCUGCGAAUGGAGAACUUCAGCUCUUCUGUGACCAGUGGUCUUGAGAAUGGAAAGAAAGGUAGAGCAAAGACCCCUAACACUAGCCCCCUCCCUGUGUUUCUGUUGCACCCAGCCAAACAACCCCUGACUAGUCUUGAACACUAACUAGGCUGUGGAGGAACUUAACCUGUUCUUAUCAAGACAGACAAAGGUAUUUUGUUUUGCUUUUUGGAAAUACAGUUGGAAGUCCUAUUAUUAACGUCUAGUACAAUAUCAAAUAUUCAUGCAGGUAUACAAAUAGCUUCAUUUAUACAUACAGGUAACCAGAAAGCACAUGGCUAUUAAAAAAAAAAAAAAAAAACUAUAUGGAAUUGAAUCCCCACUUUUGUGUGAACUGGCCUGACCAGUAAUAACUAACUCCACUGUAAUGUGGCUUUCAGGGGUCAGCAAAAAUCACAUGCAUAAUCCGAAUUAUUCUGUGAAUUGAGCCAUCCACCUGACUGAAAAAGAGAAAGGAUAGAUGAUCUGUUUUCAUUUAGUAUCAGUCUUCUAAACCACCCAAGGGAGAUCCUGGAAUUAACAUACUGUGCCUGUAGAUAUGACAGGUAAUCAGAGAGGGCAACAUGGCAUCUCUGAUCUCCAUGUGGACCAAGAACAAGAGAAAUGGACCAUACCUGAUGGUGCAAUGUCCCUCCACCCUUAUAGUUUAAGCUCAGCAAAGAAAAGUCACAUAGGAUCAGGGACCUGAGAGGUUUUCCCCCUCCAAAACCAGUUACAAGAAUGAAGUCCGGUAAAUCACACUCAAAACUAACUCCAACAUUCCGGUGCCCUGUCUAUGGACUUACAAUAACUGCUAAGUCACUGUUUCGACUAGAAAACGAACCAAGUCUCCACAGCCAAAGCAAACACAGCUCUUUGAGGACCCAGUCCAAUUGUCUGUUUAACUGCAAUUUUAAUCAGAAUCAUCCUAACUGUUGCAACAGGGGUUCUGAGAGCUCAACAGGGCUAUCUAAUUCUGACAAAAAAAAAAAAAAUACUAAGUUAUCCCAAGCUUGGGGACAAUGAAUCUCACACAUUAACUUUAUAAUAUUUCAUACGUAAGCGAAUCACACUGGAAGUUAAGGGCCCACGUCUGGAAACAAGGAAGUGGUGAGAUGCCACAGUGAGAACUGUUCUGGAGAGUGAUGAGGACAAAGCCCACCUAAGCUCUGUCCUUGACAAGGAGUUUCUCAUGUAAGAAGGCCUUGGAGUCUGGGGUGUCAUUUGCAACCUUUGCUAUCAUUUAGUGACUUCUCCUCCAGGUCACCUGAUGUAGGAACAAGGUGACAAAAGGCAUUCAGGAGCUGAGCAGAAGAAUGAACAGCUGGGAAACCAAGAGAUUUUUUCCAGAGCUUCCAUAACUCCCAGCCACUCCUCAGAGCCCAUCUGGAUAGAUUUUGGGGGAGGGGGAUGCAAAUAUGAAGAGAAUAUCCUUUUCAGAGCACAGUUGACCUUGGAAGAGAAAACGUUGCUAAAAGCAACAUGAAAUACCUCACUGCGUAUUAAUAGAACCUGGAAGCAACGGAGGCAGAGUUUAAGAAAGAACUAUUGGGAAGGGCCCUGAGCCAUCAACAGGCAGAACAAAACCCACCAUGCCAGAUCUCCAGAGAAAACAACUCUCAGCUUGCCACAAACACUGUACUGUAGUGUCAAUUAUUCAACAAAACCAAAACAUUCACACCCUGCUGUAAUUAAAAGCAGUGUAAAGUACCUCUGAUUCUCAUUGAAAAGGAUAUCUAGUAAAUGUUCUCUUGAACACUAAACUAAAAACACUAACCUACACUUCAUGUAGCUGAAUUUCUUGCUGUACUAUCCAUAUAAGGCAGGAAAGAAGUGGGCCUUGGCACAGGUUAAGUGAGUUGACCAACUUCAGUAAAAAUUUCCUAGUUGGGGUCAAUGUUCAGUCUACUCCUCUGGUGGAUUAAGAAAGAUGAGGAAGGCCAGCACUUGAGGUAAUUUGGAAAAGAGAGAAGAGAGGUUAUAAUAAAAUGCUAAGCAGAAAGGAAUGGCCGUAGAGAAUGGUGGUCAAGUGCAUAAUGGCAUUUAAGUGACAUUUCUAAAGAAAUGUUGCUUUGAAGAAAGUCUAUAACUUCCAAAGACUCUAGAGGAACCUGCUAGAAUACUUAAAAAUACAAUACUCUCUUUGUUAUAUUGCUUGUUGUGUUCAUAAACACUAGAUUCUAAAGCUGUAAUGAAAAUCAACAUUUUAACUAACAAUGAGCUAUUGUCAAAAAGUCAGGAUCAAUAGAUUGAUACCCAUUUGGAGCAUGAAGUUAAAUGAAUAACAAUGCCUUCCAAGAACUGUCUGGGAAGAACUUGCUUUAUUUUUGUCUCUGGAACAUUCAAUUCAGAUGAACUUCUCAAGUAACUAUUUCAUCUCUCACUAGUUGCCUUUAUUCCUAGGGUAGCCCAAAGGACUGUAAGUGGAUGCAUAGGCAUCUUUGCUUCUUGGCCCAGCCUUUGUCUAUCAUCAUCAAGCACGCUACCUCUGCACUUCAAACAUCUUCCCCUAAGCACCGCUGUCACUUUUCAGUUUACUUGAAAUUUUGCUCCUGUUUUCAUCAAGACAGAGUGGAAUUUAACAUAAAGUCAAAUUAGACUUUGCGAACAUAUGAGAAACUGUGACUCUUUAUCAGGAAAAGUAGAUAAAGUGUUUUGUUUCGUUUUUGUUAAGUUGGCAAUCUAUAGCAAAUGCACACUGCAGCUUGGGUUUUUAUUUCUAAACAUCUCUCUUCAAAGAGGAAAAACAUGGCCACAAAAGGAAAGCUGCAAUGUUUUCCAUGGCAAGAGGCAGAAAAGUACUUAGAGAAUGUUGGAGAUCUAUGCAAAGCACUUGGAUAGACUUGGUGAGAUCCCACUGGCCAGACUUGGGAUGAAUGCUGGAGAUCUAUGCAAAGCAUUGGAUUGGAUUGGUGAGUUCCCAUGGCCAGACUUGAGGUGGUGUGAAUAUUAAGAAGAGUAAUGAUGCCAAUGGAUAAUAACUGAACAACAAUAGAAUCCAUGGGUUUGAAGAGAGUCUAAAAACAGAAGAGGACUUAGAGUCUUUUUGUAGAGGAUGCCAGGUAGCAUGUAAGAUGUAUGAAAUAACUGGAAAAGCAUGAUAUUAUAAGCACCAUUGAAAUAAUGUGAGGACAGUAUCUACAAGAUACCAGGAUGUGCAGUCUCAACUUGCCAUACUCUGGAUCAUCUAAUUUGUAUAAAAUGUUAGUAAGAUAAGAAUUUGUAAAAAAUGUUAGUAAUAACAGAUGGAAUUUAUGGAUAUUCACUGGCCCCUUUCUUUCUUCCAUCGAUUAAACUUUAUCAAAUAAAAAAUAAAGAGAGAAAUGCUUAAUAA